rnacentral:rRNA from 1 species
AGAUUGAACGCUGGCGGCAUGCUUUACACAUGCAAGUCGAACGGUAACAGGCCGCAAGGUGCUGACGAGUGGCGAACGGGUGAGUAAUGCAUCGGAACGUGCCCAGUCGUGGGGGAUAACGCAGCGAAAGCUGUGCUAAUACCGCAUACGAUCUAUGGAUGAAAGCGGGGGACCGAAAGGCCUCGCGCGAUUGGAGCGGCCGAUGUCAGAUUAGCUAGUUGGUGGGGUAAAGGCCCACCAAGGCGACGAUCUGUAGCUGGUCUGAGAGGACGACCAGCCACACUGGAACUGAGACACGGUCCAGACUCCUACGGGAGGCAGCAGUGGGGAAUUUUGGACAAGUGGGCGCAAGCCUGAUCCAGCAGUGCCGCGUGCAGGAAGAGGCCUUCGGUUGUAAACUGUCUUUGUACGGAACGAAACGGUCGUAGGUUAAACCUCGGACUAAUGACGUACCGUAAGAAUAAGCACGGCUAACUACGUGUACCAGCAGCCGACGUAAC